rnacentral:misc_RNA from 1 species
GAUGAAGAACGCAGCGAAAUGCGAUAAGUAAUGUGAAUUGCAGAAUUCGGUGAAUCAUCGAAUCUUUGAACGCACAUUGCGCCCGCUGGUAUUCCGGCGGGCAUGCCUGUUCGAGCGUCAUUUCAACCCUCAAGCUCUCCGGAGUUUGGUGUUGGGGCGCCUGGGGCUUUUCGACCUCAGGGCCCUCAAGUCCAUCGGCGGGACCGCCAGGACACUGAGCGCAGUAGUAUUAUUUCGCUCGGUAGGAUCUUCCACGGCGGGUCGAUCUGGCCGCUAAACCCCCCAAUUCUCACCAAAGGUUGACCUCGGAUCAGGUAGGAAUACCCGCUGAACUUAAGCAUAUCAAUAAGCGGAGGA